UACAGAGGUCUCAAGCGUUGUUCGGAUUCAUUGGGCGUAAAGGGUGCGUAGGCGGCGCGGUAAGUCGGGUGUGAAAUCUCGGAGCUUAACUCCGAAACUGCAUUCGAUACUGCCGUGCUUGAGGACUGGAGAGGAGACUGGAAUUUACGGUGUAGCGGUGAAAUGCGUAGAUAUCGAGAGGAACACCUGGCGGCGAAGGCGGGUUGCUGGGCUGACACUGACGCUGAUGCGCGAAAGCCAGGGGAGCGAACGGG
rnacentral:rRNA from 1 species